rnacentral:lncRNA from 1 species
CUGGGUGAGAGGCGGCCGGACCCUGCGCAUUGCUUGUGCUGGUGAGUGCCGGCCCCAGAAGCAGGGGGGCUCGGGACAGCCCUUGCACCUCGCCCUGCCGCAGGCUCUCACAGGCUCCCUUUUCUCUCAGUCUCUCAUCUUUUUCUUUUUCUUUUUUUUCUCUUUAAUUAAUCAUUCAUUUAUUUUUUUGUUUUGUUUUUCUUCAGUUGUGAAACAAUGGCUGGAAGGAGUCAAGGUUCACUUGGGCUCUGGAAAGCAAUGCCCCUGGCCUGCCAUAGAGAUUGAGAAGAUCUACAAGAAUCUUUCCCAGCUCUUCUGCUCUGUGCUGAGGAACUGGCAGGACUGCCAGGAGGAAGAGGUGAGCACUGCUGCAUUCCCAGCCUGGGAUGGCAGCGGGGACAUCCGUGUCGGCAGCUCUGUCUG